CAGAGGUGACAGCUGAAAGACUGACCUGACUGAGAACAAACCAACACCCAGGGGAGAGUUUUACUACAGGACUGAAGUGUUACCCUACCACAGUGUCCAGUUGGGCAUGGUGGCACACACCUGUAAUCCCAGCACGCUGGAGGCUGAAGCAGAAGAACUGCCAUGAUUCAAGGACAGCCUGGGCUACACUGUGAGUUCAAAGCCAGCCUGAACUACACAGCAAGACCCUGUCUUGAAAACCUAAAUAAAUAAGUAAAUAAAUAAAUGGAAUAACAGUAACCCCUAAUUCUUUAGCCAUGCUAGAUUACAUGCUACAUACUCUUGUAUCUCUAUUUUGUUUCUGCCACCUUUGCCUGCUUAUAUGUGGUAGUUUUAAAAUUGUGUGUGUGUGUGUGUGUGUGUGUACAUUCUUUGAUAGCCCUCCCUUUGAGUUUCAUUCCCCUUCCUUUCAAUAACAGGCUUGAUUUAAUGAGUUGCUUCAAAGGAAAGGAACAUGGCAGUGAUGGUACAUAACUUCCCAGUUCAGGUUAUAAAAUGACUGUGACUCUCCUCUCAAUCUGUCUUCCUCUCCCUGCCCCUCACCUGUCCUAUCACUUGUUACUGGGACCCUUGCUACCUGAUCUUGGGCAGUCCCAUAGGGAGGCCCAGGGGUGUGGAACUGAGCCUCUUGCCUUUGGCUACUGAGUGUGGAAGCAGAUUCUUCUCCCCACCUGGUGACUUCAGCCCUAGUCAACAACUUCACUGUAACUUCAUGAGAUGCUGAGCCAAAACCAUCCCACUAAAGUGCUCACCAGUUCCUGUGCUUCAAAACUGUGAAAAUAAAUAUUUGUUGUAUUAUGCAGCUAAGUGAGGAAUUUGUGAUACAGUAAAUAACUAAUACCAGUCAACCCAAAUCUAUAAAAGCUUCUCUGACACACAGAAUUUCUCUCUUUUUGCCAUAGCAUUUUGCAUACUGAUAAAUACUUAGGUCAUAUUAAUGUUUCUGUUUCUCUCCCUCCCAAGGCUGUGAGCUGCUUGAGGCCAGGCCAUUUUUUAGCUGUACUAAGUCAAAAGAAACCCAUCUCAAGCUUGACAUAUAAAGGUUUCUUCCAGCGGUUAAGCAAAGAAUUAUUGUUUGCUAUGUGUCAUAUGGCAUUCUGAGCCUUUUGCAAAUAUUAUCCCAUUUAAUCCUCAUAAAAACUUUAGGCAAGAUCUUAUUACUACCCCUGUUACAGGUGAGGAAAAUGAGGUCAAGUUAUAGAGAUGAGUAGCUUAUCCACAGCCAGACACCUGGUAAAUGUUUCUGAAUUAAAGAACAAAUGGUUAUUUCUUAAAAACAGUUCCACUUUUUAUUCAUCUUAGAAUCUUACAGUGCCCAGUCUGGUAUGCAAUUGGGAUUCAAAUAUUUGCUAAUUUACUGUUUCUUAGUUUUUUUGAAAACAAAAUCUUGCAAAUUUUGUGGAUAAUUUAAACUGACUCAAUUGAAAUAGGAAAAGAAAAGGGGUUACAGUAAACAUGAGACUAAAAGUAAACUUGGAAGGUUUUUAUUUUUUUCUACACAUGUCCCCUAUAAAUGCUUCACAAGAAAAAAAGGGGUGGGGUUUGAUAUUCUGAUUACAUAUGUAAAAAUGAUUUUAAUUAAUUUUACUAAAAGUAAUGGUUUAGGAUUCAAAACAGUUUUAUGGUGUUAUUGUUGGG
ensembl:lncRNA